UCACUCUCUCCCCCUCCUCUCCCCGGCGAUGGCGUCCGUCGAUCUCCCCUUCCUCUCCCCACCGUGCCGACCGCCUCCUCCUCUCCUCCUCCCUAAACACGCGCCACCAGCAGAUCUACAUCUCACGCCGGCGGCCCUGUCCCAUUCCACCCUCCGCCGCCACCUUCCCCUUCCCGAGCUUGGAUCUAGGCCACCCAUCGUCUUCCCUGUACCCAGCUGCCCUCAUCAGCUCCGGUCUCGUCCGCGACGUGCUGCUCCAACCAUUGGUACGCGGCAGUGGGGGUUCGGUCCAGGAGGCGGCAGGUGCAGUCCUGAUGGCGUCGCCUCUGCGGUGGCUCCAUUCCGGCGGCAUCAGCGGAGCACACGAGCGUCCACAAGCAGCAAGCAGAGCCGGCCAAGGAAGCAAGGACACGGGCAAAUGAUGCAGCAGCGCCGUCCUUGAGGAGAUGCCGCCCCUGGAUACAACAGCCGUGGGCGUGGAAGAUGAUUUUGGAUCCUGUGAGCCGCCGCCGCCGCUGCCGCACAGGUAGUCAACGAUGGCGUGCUGCUGUUCCAUGUCCAAGAAGUCGCCCACGAGGCGUCGUCGUGGCAUUGCCAACUCCAGCUUGCCCCUGCCAUCGUCUGUGCCAUCGGCACUUGCACGCACGCGCGCUGAUCAACUCCCCGCAUAGACUCGCGUCGAGGGAGGAGGACGCAGAGGCCAACAACAAGGAGCGGUUGUGGGUGCACAUCCUCGGCGCUGACCACAAGUGCUGCGAGAAACCUUGGGCAGAAUUCGCUGCUCCACUGGUUUAUGGAGAUUUGUGAUGCUCAGAGGGACUAAUAUUGAUAAUGAAAAAAAACCAUUUGAUAAUGCACGUUAUUUACAAAACGUACAUACCUGGAGUCAUUGGGUAAUACUCGUAAAUGUUGUGACUCGGUGCGGGAACGAUUUCUGAAUGAAGGUCUACAAGACGGGGUACAUGUAUACCUGGACUUCCUUGGGGAUGUAGAUCAACGAGACGGGGUAGAGGUACAUCCGAUGCCUUUAUCUGUUCCAAUGCCUUGCUAUUUGAAGUUACCAUACUUACGUUUUGUUGUGAUGAGUGACCUAUCACAAUUGUAGGUCAACAUGAUAAGAUGAAAUAAAAACCAUUUGAUAAUGCAAGUUAUUUACAAAAGCCCCAAACCUGGAGUCAUUGGGUCAUACUCGUCAAUGUUGUGACUCGGUGUGGGAACGCUUUCUGGGAUGGAUUCGUCGACGGAAUUACCCUCAGUAUGGCCUGUAAAAUGAUUUCUCAUGUUGUGUUUACAUCAGAAUAAUGGUCAACAAGACGGGGCAGAGGUAUACC